rnacentral:rRNA from 1 species
UACGAAGGGGGCUAGCGUUGCUCGGAAUCACUGGGCGUAAAGGGUGCGUAGGCGGGUCUUUAAGUCAGGGGUGAAAUCCUGGAGCUCAACUCCAGAACUGCCUUUGAUACUGAGGACCUUGAGUUCGGGAGAGGUGAGUGGAACUGCGAGUGUAGAGGUGAAAUUCGUAGAUAUUCGCAAGAACACCAGUGGCGAAGGCGGCUCACUGGCCCGGUACUGACGCUGAGGUGCGAAAGCGUGGGGAGCAAACAGG